GUUGACCUCUUUGAAGGCAAAGACAUGGCAGCAGUGCAGAGGACCCUGAUGGCUUUGGGCAGCUUGGCAGUGACCAAGAAUGAUGGGCACUACCGUGGAGAUCCCAACUGGUUUAUGAAGAAAGCGCAGGAGCAUAAGAGGGAAUUCACAGAGAGCCAGCUGCAGGAGGGAAAGCAUGUCAUUGGCCUUCAGAUGGGCAGCAACAGAGGGGCCUCCCAGGCCGGCAUGACAGGCUACGGACGACCUCGGCAGAUCAUCAGUUAGAGCGGAGAGGGCUAGCCCUGAGCCCGGCCCUCCCCCAGCUCCUUGGCUGCAGCCAUCCCGCUUAGCCUGCCUCACCCACACCCGUGUGGUACCUUCAGCCCUGGCCAAGCUUUGAGGCUCUGUCACUGAGCAAUGGUGAAGACAGGGAAGCCCCACAGCAAAAAGGAGAGGCCCAGACUGUGAGUUCCCAGCCCGGGGCUCCAUCUACCGGCUUGACGCUGGAACUGGGAAGCACAGCUGGGGUUCAGAGGGCGAUGGGCUCCCUAGGCGGCCCUUCCCCUGUGACUGGCCUUCCCUCUGACACAUGCGGCUUUACCCACCUUUGUCUGUCCCUGAUGUCUACUGCACUCCACACAGAGCCAUAUAGGGUCAGCUGCCAUUGCCGGAGGAUGCCGACCUGGAAUGACUCAUCCCCUAGGGCAGCAAGGGGCAGCUCGUGAGCCACGCCCCUCUGUCAGCCAUGCCAGACAGCAGAGGCCCUGCCCGCCCUGCCACCCAAAGGGGCUCAGGCCACAUGGUCUGCUCCAGGAGCUGCCUCACUGUGUCCCACUGACCCCAGGUUCUGCAGAAGGGCCUCACUGGGUGCCCUUAGGGAUGGAAAGGGUUGAAAGGCUGUACUCCAAAGCAGAGUCUUGCUUUUCUCUCCCGUAUUUUGGGGGUUCAGCUGGGAUUAGAAAAAAAUGUCUUUCCACCAAAUUAAAGAAAGCUUUGAAAACCAC
rnacentral:lncRNA from 1 species